rnacentral:rRNA from 1 species
AACGAACGCUGGCGGCAGGCUUAACACAUGCAAGUCGAGCGAAGACUUCGGUCUUAGCGGCGCACGGGUGAGUAAGGUAUAGUUAAUCUGCCCUACACAAGAGGACAACAGUUGGAAACGACUGCUAAUACUCUAUACUCCUGCUUAACACAAGUUGAGUAGGGAAAGUUUUUCGGUGUAGGAUGAGACUAUAUAGUAUCAGCUAGUUGGUAAGGUAAUGGCUUACCAAGGCUAUGACGCUUAACUGGUCUGAGAGGAUGAUCAGUCACACUGGAACUGAGACACGGUCCAGACUCCUACGGGAGGCAGCAGUAGGGAAUAUUGCGCAAUGGGGGAAACCCUGACGCAGCAACGCCGCGUGGAGGAUGACACUUUUCGGAGCGUAAACUCCUUUUCUUAGGGAAGAAUUCUGACGGUACCUAAGGAAUAAGCACCGGCUAACUCCGUGCCAGCAGCCGCCGUAACAC